CUGCAGUGAUGACUUUCUUAGGACACCUUUGGAUUCAUCAUGAAAACAGCUGAAUUCUGAGCAGC
rfam:Alligator mississippiensis ScZkoYb_22, whole genome shotgun sequence.